UUUAGCUUCGGUCGUACAUGUACUAAAAUUUGAUCGAUACAGAAAUUUGCAUCGUCCCCGUCCCCCGCGCAAUGAUGACACACAAAUUCGAGAAACGUUCCAUAUUUUU